UUUGAAAUGUUUAUUCGACCGGUAAUAUCACUUUUUGAAGUUUUUGUCCGACAUAACGCUGGCCAGAAUUAACGUUUGGAUAUGGAUACCAAACACUCUAACAAAAUAAGGUAUUUGGACAUAAAUAACGGACAAAAACUUUGAACAAAACAAACAUUUAUUGUGGACCUGGGAUUCCUGGAGUGCUUUCUGAUGUAGAUCAUCAAAGGUGACACGCAUAAUAAUGCCAUGUGGCGUCUUCCACAACAUAGCCCUGAGGCAUGGUAUUGAAAUGGAUGCGGAGUUUAGAAUGGACCCCCAAGAGCCUCCUAACCCACUACCCAAUGGAGUACAUGCCCCGGCUGAUGCAGUGAAAAGGAGGCGGCUCAUACCGAGAUUGGACUGAGGUGGUCAACACACAAACUGUAGAUGUGGAUGCAGAUGUGAAUGGACCGUCGACACCUGUGGCCAAACAUUCCCCCUCACUCUUGUCACCUGCGGGUCUGUGACGCUUAUGAACCGGGGCCUCACGGACUUCAUCCUGGAGCAUGGACACAGAUGGUGACGGACCCUCGACACCUGUGGCCAAACCUUCCCCCUCACUCCGGGCACCUGCUGAUUUGGGAGACUCACACACUUUAUCUCUGGGUGGAGGGAGCACGGGCUGCAACACAGCUUCCCUUGGUGGAGUGUGCACCCUCACCCGGUGCACUAGCUGCAACGCAGCUUCCCCCAUUUCUAUGUGUAUAAAAGAAUGUUUAAAAAUCAGUGUUUGUCUUGUAUAUUAAGUUACUGACAACCAAGUUUCACAUUCUCCUAAUUACUUACCGUGAUCCAGUGAUGCAGUCUUCGGGUUUUGCACUCCGACGUCACUUUCCGAUGUCACUGAUAAACAAUGUAAAAGUUGGGAUUAAACCAUAUGAAAAAUAGAAGAAACUCACCUUUUUUAACAUUCACCGUUGCCGUCGGAGCAUGUGCCAGUGUA